rnacentral:lncRNA from 1 species
AAGUCGAUCCCGGGACCCAAUCUGAUCAGUUUGGCAGUUAGGCGGUUACUGCCCAAAUGACCAUAUCGCCCCCAUAAGAACCCCUAUAAAUAGAGGGCACCCCCCACUCAUUAAAGGCAAGUCAUUUGGAGUAGAAGAAUUCCUAGCGAAGCAGAGCUCUGCGCACUUGAGUUCCGGUCCGGUUUCCCGCGGAGUUCCCCGCUUGGCGCUUGCUUGCGCGUCUUGGAGUACUGGUCGGGUUUCACCCCCAUCAUAUGCAAAUAUUGAAAUUUUUGUUGAACACCAAAUCCUGGCUAGCAUAUUCAAAUAUUGACAUCCCAUGUGCCUUGUUAAAUGGUGUACUUCCAUUCUUCACUGCGUCCUCCAAGUAGUUCCUAUAAGAUAUACCAGCAUUCCAUCAAAACUUUCUCUUGAUGUAAAAAGAAAUUGGGAACCAAACAAACACCAUGCUCGUCCUUCACAAAGUUGAAACACACAGGGGAAGCACCAUAUAAUCUACUAAUGGUGCUUCCAUCAUCACUCUUUUGCAACUUGUAUUUGAAGAUUCCAUGGCUAGCAAGGCAUCAAAGAAUGCGAUUAAACAAUACGGGAGCAUCAGGGUUGCCAAUUAGUAGUUUAUCUGCAAUCUCUUUUGUUGAUAGGAAUUUUCCAGAAUCAGCAUUGACGAGAACAUCAACUAUACCUACUUCAAUGGAGAACAUCAUUAUUGGAAGAACUGAACAAUGCAACAAUUUCAUUGUAUUAACAUAUGUCUCAUUUUCUUCCAUCUUCACUAUGUAAAAUUAUAUUUAAUGAUUGUAAAAAGUUAAUUUAAUUGAUCAAUAAGAAAAAAAAUAUUUAUGAUAUUCGUACAUGGUAUUGUAUAAUGGAUUGUGUCCUCAAAGUAACAAAUAAGUUGGAGGACUCCAAUAGCUUAGUUAAAUAAUCAGACAGCCUCAUUAUGAAAUAGGUUGUCAAUCUCUGACAGGCUAGCUAGGACUGUAGGUUUGGGUUAGAUUUGGGUGCAGCUUUUCCCAAGUCAAUGUUUUUCCUCAACCCAAAGUCCCAAACUCAAAUAAUUAUGGACAAGUCAUUGAAUAAACAAUUUGGUUUUGUAACAAACUAUUUUACUAAACAAAAAAAUUAAAUUUUUUUUUUUAAAUUAUAAGUUUAUCCAUAUCUUUUAAAAAAAUAAUUUUUUUUAAAAUUAAAUAGGUUAUUUGAGAAAGAUUAGAAUUAUAUUUAAUCUGUAUAUCUUUAUUGAAUAAAGUUUAACUAAAUUAAAUUGCCCAACUUUUGGGUAGAGAAAGAAUUGAAAAAUAAUUGCCUAACUUUUGGGCACAUGCGAAAUGAGAGAUCGUAGGACAUGUUUUUUCCUCAACCCAAACCCAAAUAAUUAUGGACAAGUGUUUGACUAAACAAAAAAGUCAAUAAUAUUUUAAAAAUUACAAUGUUAUUUGAAAAAAAUUUAAAAAAUCAUUUAAAAAAAAUUUAAAUAGGUUAUUUGAAAUUACAAUGUUUAUUUGAGAAAGAUUAGAAUUAUAAAGUAAGUUCCGUUUCAAACUUACUUAACUUCAUUCAAUAAGGAGAUUAAUAAAAAGCGAAAUAAUAUAUUUGCAUAACAUAUCUUAUCGUCGAUAAAUUUAACCCAUAAUGUUUGAACAACAGAAUCGUACAUGUCCGUGGACAAGAUGGAUGGUGUAUCUACAACCUUCCAUGUUUUAUCGAUGUAUUUGACUAUCUCGUAAUGCUCAGUUAUUACGUUACCAACAAAAUAAAAUACCUGAGUGAGAGAUUGAUGUAGAGGACGGAGAGAAAGAUGGAAAAAAUAACAUAAUCUUAUACGUUAUUUAUAAGGAUAUGGGAAGGAAACCAAAGUUGAUUAUUUGGAAAAAAAAUUGAUGAUGGAAAUCAAUUUGGACAGAUGCAUUAAUUAUUAUUAUUAGAGAUGCAAAUGAAAUUUUCUACGAAAUAUGUCUAAAAGUUCUUAAUUGGCUCCUUAUAGUAUAUCAUAUAUUAUUUGUACUCUCCCUUUCAUUAAUUGGCGGUGUUUUGUUCCCUCUACAAUCCUUCUUUACUGAUCACGUAAUUAACGUUUUCUCCUUGCUUCCUGUGCUUUGAAAAUUGGAACCACGUCCGAUCACACAUUAAAUACUCUAUAAUCACAAAAAAAGACAAAUAAUGAAAUUAUUGAAACAAUUGUUUGAAUUAUAAGAAUAAAUAAUCAGUUUUAAAUUCAUAUAUAAGAAUAGAAGAAGAAAAAAAAAAUUUAUAUUGAUCAAUCUAUGUUGAUUAUUGAAUUUCGUGCAAUUCGACACAUGGAUCUUUCUUUUUUGGGCCUCCCCUAUAAAUAGAGAUGUCGCCUUUCCUUUACCUUCACAAAAAAUUCUUAUUAAUCGCCGACCUUGUAACUGGUAAUGACUUAAAUUGAUUAAUUGACUUCUCGAUUCCAAACAUUUAACUGAAAAUACAUACAUUCUAAACUGAUUAAUAAACAAUUAUUUAAAAUCUGACCGACAAUCACACUUAGGAAAUCUUAUUGUUACUUUUUUAAAUUUAAUUAAUAAUUUAUUAAAUAAUUAUUAAUUAAAUAAAUAAUUUUUUAAUUUUAAUUUUCAAAUAAUUGUUUAAAACAUUGGAUUUUAGAUUAGUUGUUUAAAAAAAACUGAUUAUUGGAAUUUCCAAUAUUAUAUUAAUUAUUUAAUUAAUUUAUAAUUAAAUAAUUAAUUUUAAAUUAAUUAAAUAAAUAAUUAUUUAAAAACUAACUAACAAUCACACUUAGAAAAUCUGAUUGUUACUUUUUUUUUAAUUUAAUUAAUAAUUAAUUAUUUUAUAAUUAUUUAAUUAAUAUCAAAUAAUUAUUUAAUUAAUUAUUACCUAAAUAAAUAAUUUUUUAAUUUUAAUUUUCAAAUAAUUGUUUAAAACAUUGGUUUUAGAUUAGUUGUUUAAAAAAACUGAUUAUUGGAAUUUCCAAUAUUAUAUUAAUUAUUUAAUUAAUAUUAAAUAAAUAAUUAUUAAAAUAUUAUUUAAAAACUAAUUAACAAUCACACUUAGAAAAUCUGAUUGCUACUUUUUUUAAUUUAAUUAAUAAUUAUUUAAUUAAUUAAUUAAUUAUUAAUUAAAUAAAUAAAUAAUUUUUUAAUUUUAAUUUUAAUUUUUAAAUAAUUGGUUAAAACAUUGGAUUUUAAAUCAAUUCUUUAAAAAAAAACUGAUUAUUGGAAUUUCCAAUAUUAUAUUAAUUAUUUAAUUAAUUUAUAAUUAAGUAAAUAAUUAAAUAAUUACUAAAUAAUUAUUUAAAAACUAACUAACAAUCACACUUAGAAAAUAUGAUUGUUACUUUUUUAAAUUUAAUAAAUAAUUAAUUGUUAAUUAAAUACAUACUUUUUAAUUUUUAAAUAAUUGGUUAAAACAUUGAAUUUUAAAUCUGUUCUUUAAAAAAAACUGAUCAUUGGAAUUUCCAAUAUUUUAUUAAUUUAUAAUUAACUAAAUAAUUACUAAACAAUUUUUUAAAAACUAACUAACAAUCAUAAUUUUUUUUAAUAAAUAAUUAAUUCAUAAUUAAACUAAUACUAUUAAUUAAUUAAAAAUAUAACUAAUUUUAACUAAUGCAUUCAUUUUAUUAUCAUUAAUUUCAUGGUAUAAAUGUAUUGCAUUCAUUUAAAGUAAACAACUAAAUUUCAAAUUGCAUUGCAUUCUCUAAUUUCAAAAUAUAAAAAUUGAUGAAGCACGAUAUCUGCUACCAGUAGGCUUGCGGGGUUGCGAGGAGGGCCGGAGGCUUUGGAGUCCACGACGCGCGCUUUACGUCAAUGUACCUGCAGAAGUGGAGGGGAAUCGGCGACUCCCUUGGGAGUAGGCGAUUCGGGCUCCUUGGAUUGCUCUGGUGUAGUGUGGUCAAGUGUGAAUGACUUGGGAGUAGAGGACCCCCAAGGACCCCUUUUAUAGGGUCUUGGGGGACGUUUCCCCAUUCAUUAGCGUGAGGCCCACCCCAUUAUGGUGCCCUAUUGAAGGGUGCCAUAAUGAUGUGGCCCUCCCAAGUAACGGCUGGGAAUCGACGACUCAGGUAUGGGAGUCGCCGAUUCAGAGGUGGAGUCGCUGACUCCCCAUGAGCCAAGUUGGCAGUCUACCAGAACUGACCACGAGGCCUAGAGUCGGCGAUUCACCCCUGGAGUCAGCGACUUGGUAGUCCCAGUCGGCGAUUCCCAGGUGUUUCCUUGAGUACUUGACGUAGACACUUCCUCCGCAUUUGUGGAACUCUCCGGGGGUCCGGCAUAAAGCGACGGAACCCUAGUCCUUGUCGAAGGGCGUUGGUGGGAGUGACUGACGUGAUCAGGCAUGUCUCACCAGUACUCCCCCCUGAAGAGAGCAUGGCAAAACACCCGUAUACCGCCAGUAUCCCCCCCCAAGCAAGGUGAUCCGCAUCAAGGCAAGAAGCGACAAGAUGGGAUUGAGUCAUUGCGCUCACAGCGACACUAAUGACUCCGCGUGGUCCAUGCACUAUCAGAAUCUAGUUCCAGGCCAACGGAACUACAUGUUUAUAGUCCUACUCUGAUCAAGAGCGACUUUUGCUGUGUGGAUUCUGGCCGAAGCGACAGAAUGCGUGGAUUCACUAUUAGAAUCUGAUUCUGGCCGAAGCAACAAAAUGCGUGGAUUCGUUAUCCGAAUUGGGUUCUGGCCGAAGCGACAGAUCGCGUGGAUUCACUAUUAGAAUCUGAUUCUGGCCGAAGCGCGAGAAUCUAGUUCACUAUCAGAACUGAUGUUUAUAGUCUACCCUGAUCAAGAGCGACUUGGUGUCCGCAACGACGGUUACCCCAUAGGCCGAAGCGCAAGAUGGGUCGAGAUCAUUAAGGUCAAAGCGACAAAAUGAUCUCCAAAUGUUCGAAGAACUAUUGAAGCCAAAGCGACAACAUAAUUCUUGGUCUGAUUCUGGCCGAAGCGACAGAAUCAUGCCUGCAAAACAAAAAACAACCUGCAACCUGCAAAACAACUAUAUCAGUCUAAAGGAUAUAUUUAUUGAUUUACUGACCUUGCCGUGUGGAGCUGCCUCUCAUGCUGCUCCUCCUUAUGCUCAAUAAAUCCUUGAUUGAUCUGUUCGAAGCGACAGAUCUAUCAUGCUAAAAAAUGUGACAGCUUCUGGCCGAAGCGACAGAAGUGCCGACACAUUAUUAGAGUCUGAUUCUGACCAAGGCUACAGAUCCACUAUCAGAAUCCGAUUCUCGCCUCGGAUACAGAACCUGCUGAUUCACUAUUAGAAUCUGACUCACUAUCAGAGUCUGAUUCUGACCAAGGCUACAGAUCCACUAUCAAAAUCUGAUUCUCGCCUCGGAUACAGAACCUACUGAUUCACUAUUAGAAUUUGACUCACUAUCAGAGUCUGGUUCUGACCAAGACUACAGAUCCACUAUAAGAAUCCGAUUCUCGCCUCGGAUACAGAACCUGCUGAUUCACUAUUAGAAUCUGACUCACUAUCAGAGUCUGAUUCUGACCAAGGCUACAGAUCCACUAUCAGAAUCCGAUUCUCGCCGAAGCGACAGAAGUGUCUGGAGUAUUUGUGAUACUUUCUAUUGAAAUGUGACGACUUCUAAUGACAGAAGUGUCGGGAGAGUUUGUGAUACUCCCCCUCGAAAUGUGACGACUUCCAUCCCAAUUGACAGAAGUGUCGGGAGGGUUUGUGAUACCUUCCCUGUGAUACUUUCUAUUGAAAUGUGACGACUUCUAAUGACAGAAGUGUCGGGAGAGUUUGUGAUACUCCCCCUCGAAAUGUGACGACUUCCAUCCCAAUUGCAGAAGUGUCGGGAGGGUUUGUGAUACCUCCCCUCGAAAUGUGACGACUUCUAUCCAAAUUGACAGAAGUGUCGGGAGAGAGAGUUUGUGAUACUCCCCCUUGAAGCGAUUGUUAAUGGGCUAUCUUUUGUUUUAUUGCUAAUCUUUCAUAUAAAUGACCCUUUAAAUUGUAACUAAGGCCUGAAACUAGAUUCACAAGUCGUAAUUUAGCCACUCUGGACGUAAAUUAGACUCUGCUAACCCUAUUGCUAGCCACUCUGGGCGUAGACUUGGUCGUACGAAUCGUAGCUCAGCCUACGGUUAAAUUUGCGGAUAAUUUAUACCUCCGGAUUAAUGUAGAGUUAUAAAGAUAGCGUGAAUGAAAAAUCCGAAGGAUGCAAAUUUUUCAAACUCGAGGGUUACGUUUGUAAUUUACAAUUACAACUGAAGUUUGAACCCUGAUGUUGGAGAGAGCUUGUGAUACUCUCUCUUGAAACGUGACGACUUCUGAUCGAAGCGAUAGAAGUGUCGGAGAGAGCUUGUGAUACUCCCUCCUGGAAAUGUGAUGUUGUUUUACCCUGAGUCGGGAACUGGGUGUCCCAAUCGUCGACUCCUUAUGUUUUAGGUAAUUGUGAGGAUUUUGACGACUUCUGGCCGAAGUGACAGAAGUGUCGGGAGAGCUCGUGAUAUUCCCCCUCUUGUAAUGUUUUGAUAUUUUUGUAAUUUUUUGGAACUCAAUCAAUUAUUUUGCUAUCUUAAUUAAUUGUUUAUUUAAUUUAUUUUUUGAAUUGUAACUAAGACCCGAAACUAGAUUCACAAGUCGUAAUUUAGCCACUCUGGACGUAAAUUAGACUCUGCUAACCCUAUUGCUAGCCACUCUGGGCGUAGACUUGGUCGUACGAAUCGUAGCUCAGUCUACGGCUAAACUCGCGAAAUAAAUUAAACUUCACAACUAACCAAGACUCGCAAAACUAAGUGACGUAAUGAGUUGGAGAUACAAAAAUUAUCGAGAAUAGGACUUAAGAUUUUUUGAAAAACUAAGACUCUAGAUUUCAUUCCCUAAUGUAUAGUUGAACUCUGGCCAAAGCGACAGAGUAACUUUUUACCCUUAUCAAGGCCAUUGCGACAAGAUGGGGUUCAAUCGUAUGUGUUGUGGGUACUUAGAACCUCUUGGGGAUUAGGUUCAUUUGUACUUAGGACAUGAUUUGUGACCAUGAUAUAUGAGGUUGAAGAGACGGACGUCAUCCAGCCGAAGCGAUGGAUGAUUGAUCCGUCCGAAGCGAAGAGACGUAAUGCGAGCAGUGCGUUGGCACUGUGUUUUAUUCUGAUCAUCCCCACAUGUUGGGUGAUGAACUUCGAAGAGAGGUCCGCGAAGAUGGAGACCGAGCCAGCUGGCAGACCAGAGAACCACCGAUAAGCGUUGCCUUUGAGAGUGCAGGGGAAUGCCCGACACAACAGUCCGCUAUCGGUGGUCUGCGGUUCCAAGACACUAAGGUCGAGGUUGAUGUGAUCUUUUGGAUCACUCGAACCGUCAUAUGCUUCUAUCUUGGGUACCCGCCAGGUUGGUGGAAAAGAUUCUUUCAAAAGGUCCUUGUGAAAAGGAGCGCUUUUGAUUCUCAAGAACUCGAUCGGACUGUUGGCGACCGGAUUGUCGGCCAGCUUCCGACGAAGAUCUUCCACGAACUUUGUUGUAAGAGUCUUGUGAGUGCGACUCUUGCUAGGUCCAGCCUUUGCCUUAGGAGGUGCUGGAGAUUUCCUCUUUUUCUCUGUAGAUGGAGGAUAGUAAGACCCAGAUUCACCCGCUCCUUCGCGGAUGAUGGUCUUGUUGCCCCUUGCUUUCUCGAGAUUGCUAACUCUUUUUUCUAUGGAAUCCAUACAGUUAAUCAACCUCUCUUGUAGCGCAAGAGUUAGGUUCACUCCCCCAUUUGAUGGGAGUGAUGAGGGCACCUCAUGUGUCGAAAGUGGUAUAUUGGAGGUUGGUAUAGUACGGGAACCAACCCUCCUACCAGAAGCUCCUACCUCAGCAGCAAUGGCGAGAGCUUUCUUUUUAUGAUCCUUAGUAAAAGGAGCCAUAAAUGGGAUGGUUGCUUCUAUCGGGUCGAAGCAACAGACUACGAGUGGAAGUUCUUCCGAAGUGUCGAAAGCUAUGGGUAGGUACCUGCCCCCCCGGGUGUCACAAAACAGAAAAAAUUUCGUAUAAUAUUUCUUUGUAGUUUUGUAACCCCCUUGAGCAGUACUACUAGUCCCCAAAGUUUGAAAUUAGCAAAAAAUAUCGAAUUUUUUUGCAAUUUUUUUGCAGAAAAUCGUGCUGCCGGAGGUGGUUUUCGGGAUGCCUGUUUAGACCUAUCCCAGAAAAGAUUCCUUGCACUGUUGGGAAAUUCUGCCUUUCUGUACUCGUAGAGAAAACUUUUUUCACGUGAAGUGUGGUCGUAGAAUCCCAAAAUGAGAUCUGGGUAUUCCGGAGGUGGACCGACAAAAUCACUGGUAGUGAAAAAAGGUAAAAAGCAACAUACUUUUUUUUUUUUUACCGAAACGACGAUGCGAGUCCCGCCGAAGCGAUGGAUUUUCAUUUCGGUAAAAGAGCUGGGCUAUGCGUGGUCUUAUUCAGCCGAAGCGAUGAAUGAAGACGAUGACCGAAUGACCGAAUCGGCAAUUCAACUGUGGGAAUUGCCUACUCGGUGUGGGAGUCGGCGAUUCAAUUGUGAGAAUCGCCUACUCAGUGUGGUCUUAUUCAGCCGAAGCGAUGAAUGAAGACGAUAACUGAAUCGACAAUUCAACUGUGGGAAUCGCCUACUCAGUGUGGGAGUCGGCGACUCAAUUGUGGGAAUCGCCUACUCAGUGUGGAAUCGUUGAUUCAAGUGGGAAUCGACGAUUCAGAUGGGGAUAGGUGAUUUUCUAUGAAAAAUCCAACCUAUAUGGAAGUGAAAGUGCCAGAGCAAAAGGCAUUGACAGCACUUGCUCAAAAAGCUAAAGGAAUCGGCGACUCCUAUGUGGAGUCGGCGAUUCAACUUAUGGCCUUUUUGAACCAAGCCGUGGACAGCACUCUUAGCUAGCAGAAUAACCCGUAAUCGGCGACUCACUAGGUGGAGUCGGCGAUUGCCUGUGUGUAUCGGAGAUUCCUUAACACAAAGUCAGCGACUCACCCUAAGGGAAUCGAGCUGAACUUUGCGAAGAAAAUUUCGCGAUUACGACGGGAUAUCGUGGUUCGAUAUUCCCACAGACGGCGCCAGCUGAUGAAGCACGAAAUCUGCUGCUACCAGUAGGCUCGCGGGGUUGCGAGGAGGGCCGGAGGCUUUGGAGUCCACGACGCGCGCUCUACGUCAAUGUACCUGCAGAAGUGGAGGGGAAUCGGCGACUCCCUUGGGAGUAGGCGAUUCGGGCUCCUUGGAUUUCUCUGGUGUGGUGUGGUCAAGUGUGAAUGACUUGGGAGUAGAGGACCCCCAAGGACCCCUUUUAUAGGGUCUUGGGGGACGUUUCCCCAUUCAUUAGCGUGGGACCCACCCCAUUAUGGUGCCCUAUUGAAGGGUGCCAUAAUGAUGUGAGCCCUCCCAAGUAACGGAUGGGAAUCGGCGACUCAGGUAUGGGAGUCGCCGAUUCAGAGGUGGAGUCGCCGACUCCCCAUGAGCCAAGUUGGCAGUCUACCAGAACUGACCACGAGGCCUAGAGUCGGCGAUUCACCCCUGGAGUCGGCGACUUGGUAGUCCCAGUCGGCGAUUCUCAGGUGUUUCCUUGAGUACUUGACGUAGACACUUCCUCCGCAUUUGUGGAACUCUCCGGGGGUCCGGCAUAAAGCGACGGAACCCUAGUCCUUGUCGAAGGGCGUUGCUGGGAGUGACUGACGUGAUCAGGCAUGUCUCACCAAAAAUCAUUUCUAAAUUUAUCAAUUCUUUAAAUUAUCAUUCAUUUCAUGGCAUUUCUUGUUAUUCAUUUCUAAAUUUUUGCAUUCAUUUUAAAAUUACACAAUUUAAAAACAUACAUUUCAUUUUUCAAUUAUUUAACAUGCAAAUUAUAUUAACUAAUUAAUAACUAACAUAAUAAAUAAAUAAUUUCAAAUGAAUAAAAAAUAUUACAUUGAUCUGUGGUAAGACAUGCCUGAUUACGUCAGUUAUUCCCAGCAACGCCCAUCAACAAGGACUAGGGUUCCGUCGCUUUACGCCGGACCCCAGAAGGCAUCCACGGUGUCGAGAAAGUGUCUACGUCAAGUACUCAAGGCAACACCUGAGGUGAAUCGCCGACUGGGACUACCAAGGAGCCCGAAUCCCCGACUCCCACGUGAGUCGCCGAUUCCCCUCCACUUCUGCAGGUAUUUGACGUAGAGCGCGCGUCGUGGACUCCAAAGCCUACGACCCUCCUCGCAACCCCGCGAGCCCACUGGUAGCAGAUUUCGUGCUUCAUCAAUCCGCAAAUUGAAAAUCGACCGCAAAUGCUAAUUUCAACGAUCUGCAAAAACCUACAACAAAAUAUCAACACAUAUAACACAAAAUAUAUCAAUAACACAUAUAACACAUACAAUAUAAAUAAAACAUAUAACACAUACAAGAUACCACAUACAUAUAACACACAAUAUAAAUAAAACAUAUAACACAUACAUGAUACCACACACAUAUAACACAUACAAGAUACAACACACAAAUAACACAUAACACAUAUAACACUUAAAUUUAUAAAUUAUACAAACCUUCAUCCGGGAGAUGUCCGACGGAAAAACAGUUCGGCGGAGAGAUCGAUGACCGGCGGCGAAGACAAUUCAACCUAAAAAAUAAUAAUUUCAAUUAUAUAAUUAAAACCCCUAUUUAAUUAAUUUAAUUACAAAAAUCAAAACAGUAAAUCAUAUAGUGAAUCAUACAUAAUAUACUAAUCAUUUCAUUAAUCACAAUUCUUUAAAAACAUAAUCAUUUCAUUAAUAGCAGUAAAUCACAAUUAUUUCAUUAAUCAUAAUAUAUUUAAAAACAGUAAAUCACAAUUACUAAAUUAAUAUAAUUUUUAAAAUCAAAACAGUAAAUCAUUAUAUAACUAAUCAUUUCAAAACUUAACUAAUCAUAAUAACAAAACAGUAAAUCAUAAUUAAACUUAACAAAAAUCAAAACCGCAAAAACAAAACCCCAAAAUCAAAUCAAUAAAUCAACCUAACAUCUAACCCUAAAAUCAAACCCCAAAAUACAUAUAUAAACUCCCAAAUACUAAAUACAAAAGCCCCCAAAUACAUUAACCCCCAAAUAUGUAAACCCCUAAUUAAAUCAUACAACCAUAAACCCCUAAUUAAAUCAAACACCCAUACAUCAAAUGAAGAACGGAAUAAAAAGAUAAAGAAAAAAAAAGAAAAUGUAAAAGAAGAAGAAAAGAUGUGAUAAAAAAUAAGAGGAUAAGAAGAAGAUGGAGAAGAAGAAGAUGGAGAAGAAGGGGAGAAAAUAACCUUGGAUAUGCUCAAAUCGCCGGAGGGCAGUUGGGGAGGAGUGGGGAGAAGUUGAGAGAAGUUGGGAGAAAUGGAAAGAAUCUCGAAUUUUUUCCAUAUAUUUUGCCAGACCGCCAACUAUUUUUCUCCCGACCGUUAAGGGUUUUAGGAUGCUGGUGGCAAGACUUCCAGCUCAUUUCUUCCCGACCGUUAGGGAAAUUGGUGCUGGUGGCCAGGCCACUAGUAACUUUAAAAAAAAAGGCACCGGUGGCCUGGCCGCCAGCUCAUUUCUCUCAUUUACGAGGGAAAAUUAUGCCGGCAGACUAGUGUAGCCUACCGGCGGCCAGGCCGCCGGGAGGUUGCCGCCAGAACUAAGCUGAUUUUUUGUAGUGCGGUAUGACGUUUCUCAGUAGACUACCUCGAGAAACUACAUAUUAAGUAUAACGUGCAUGCCUGUUAUGCUACUGGAGUACUCUAUCGAGGACAUCUUCUUAUUCCGAGGAAACUUAUUUUAUUUUAAUAACUCUGGUUUAAUUAUCUCACCUCAUUUAUGUGUGCAUUAAUAUAUUUCUCCGAUAGGCACCCUGAUUGUUCCGUCGUAACGGGUCAUAUAAUUGUAAUAAUAUCGUAUAUCCUAUGACCCGUCUUCAUUUUUGGCUAACAAGUGAUUCUUGCUCGCAAUCGGAUCACUUGAAGAAGUGCCGAGAAGAGAAAGGAUAGAUUUCUUCCACCGCUUCCUCCUGUUAGAUCUUCCUCUUAUGCAAGAGGUUGCUUUUCAUAGGUUCAUAAAGGCAUGUGAAUUUUCUCGACAAAGUAGUCGACCUAGCUAAUGCAGAUACUACGUCAUAGAGAUACUCUCAUUUUACCUGUCCUUCUAAUGAUCUUCAAUAUCCUCAGUUUCCUAGAAAUUUGGGGAAAUUUGUUGAAAAGAACUAAGAGCUUGCAACAAGUACCUAGAUCUCAUAGUAGUUUUACUCGUGUUUAACAUGGUACUUAUAUGCUAGUUUACUCGUGUUUAACAUGGUGCUUAUAAAUUAUAAUGUGUUUUUGUUACUUCUAACUAUAUUUAUUUUUUGCUUAUAGCUGUCAUACCUUCACGAUCAUCUCGGUAAUCUCGAACAUGCCAAAAAUCUCUAACUUAUAAAACGCAAAGGAUCUUUAAUUUUAUUUUUGUAAACACAACUUUAUAAUGAGAAAUCAAAUUCCCUUCAGAGAAGAAAAAGAAAGAUUAUGAUGAAUUCCUAGAUAUUGUACAAGUGAUAUAUUGAAGAAUUCCUUAACUUUUUCCAAACUUGUCAGAGAAUAUGAUAAAACUAAGGAAGAGUGAGAUGCAAUCUAGAAGAUGUCGAUAUCCAGAAUCGUACUCUCACCUCCUCAGUCAUCUAGCUCAAGCUCAGUGUUGACACCCUGGAUAAUAUUUGCAAAAAGCUAACUUCAUAGUUUGAAACUACUACUAGCUAGAUAUCGUCUUAGCUCGACGAUAUUGUUCAUUUUAGAAAUAUUGUCUUUUUAGGUUUUCGAACAAAUGACAUAGUUGACCGGAUUGGUGCUAAUCUGGAAUGGGUAGUAGAGGUGUGUGCAUAGUAUUUUGUCUACAUGUGCAGAAUGUAUCAGGUCAGGCGGAACCCUAGGAUGGUAAUGGAGCAGAAAUCCAAAAUGUCUAUAGAGGAUCGAGGUCGAAAAGAGAGGUGGACAUGAGAUCUCUCUUCAAAAAUGGAUUAAGCACGGGGAGCUUCUCCGACGAGCUUGGCCUGAAGGUUAAGAAACACCUUUUGAAGAAGUGGUUUUGUCAUGAUGUCCACCCAUUGUUCCUUCCCAGCAAGAAUGUGUCUGGCCAUGAUAUCUCCAUUCUCUGUAUUUCUCACGUAUGAAGUGAAGAUCUAGUGCUACAUGUUUUAGCUUGGAGUGCGCAAUUGGGUUCUUUGUUAUAAACGUUGCUCCUAAGUUUUCAGAUAGAAUUUGCACUGGCCUUGGUACUUCAACAUGUAACUCAUUUAACAUUGAUCGAACAACUUCUAUUUCUUGUGUAGUUAUCGCAAUGGCUCUGUACUUCGCUUCAGUGCUGGACCUCGCUAGCGUGUUUUGUUUGCGUGAGAUCCAAGAGACUAGAUUACCUCCAAUGUAGACUAGAAAUCUAGCUUGUCCAACUUUUUUAAUCAAUCGUAUCCCCACCCAAGUCUGCAUCACGAUAGGCCGAAGUCUCUUGCCUUUCGGAUCACAACACCACUUUUUUGGGUACCUGAGAGAAAUCUCAGUACGUGUUUGACCAUAGCCUAGUAGGUCGGUUUCAGUGUGGCCAUGAACUGAGAUAAAAUAUUUACUUCUACCUAGACGUCUGUCCUGGUGAGAGUUAUAUAUUGUAAGGAACCGAGUAUACGCCAGAAUUCUUUAGGAUUAUCAAUCUGAUUUUCCUCCGAUCCCAGGUCGAAAUUUACGAUCAUUGGUGUUAUCGCAUGCAUCAUACUGUCCAUAUCGCAGCUCUUGAGGAGAUUAACCAAUUAUUGUAUUUAGGAGAGAUGAAUACCAUCUUGACAUUGAGAUACUUGAAUACCCAAGAAGAAUGUUAGAUCUCCCAAAUCUCUGAUGGGAAAUUCAUUCCCCAAUUUCUCAAUUAUUUCUUCUACCAUUGACUCUUGUGAUCGGGCUACCACAAUGUCAUUAAUAUAGACGAAUAGAUAGACGAGAUACUCAUUUUGUUGGUAGAUAAACAGCGAGGGAUCUAUGGUUGAUUCAUUGAAAUUUAUAGAAAUCAAGAACUUGUUUAGCCUUCAGAAUCAACAUCUCGGAGAUUGCUUCAAUUCGUACAAGGAAUAUUUGUGAAGCAGACAAACGUGUUCUGGUACUCGUGAGUCAGUGAACCCAAUUGGUUGUGAAGUUACUAUUCUUUCCUCUAAUAUUCCGUGAAGAAACGCAUUCGAUAUGUCUAUCUGAUGCAUCAUCUAACCCCGCGUUUCUGCCAAUAGUAAAACCAAACGAAUUGAGAGAGCUCGUAUAUACUAUCGGACUGAAGGUGUCCCCAAGUAGUCUGUUCCAUAGAUUUGCCCUGUUGAUGACGUACGUUAUCCCCUGUUUGCUUUGGAACGAGACUCCAAGUUUUAUUAUCUUGAAGUGCCUUGAACUCGAUUGUCAUAGCCCCCUUCCACUUGGGUAUAGAAAGCGUAUGCUUAGCUGAUAUCGGGAUUGAGACGUCAGUAUCUGCCAUUGCGAGCAUAUAUCUUGGAUUAAUUUUAAUAAUUCCAACUAACUCUCUUGUUACUAUUGAGUAUGGGUGAGUGACUUGAGAGGGCUGUAUAGAAGGUUCUUCUUCAUUAAACUCGUCUUCUUCACUUAAUUCUUGUUCAUCGUAGAUGUAUUGUUCUGAAACUGAGCCAAGAACCACCGCCGGUGAAUCUUUUUCAAUUUUGCUAUGAUCAAGAUUCACAUCUGUUGAAAUUGAGUUUGAGACUUGAUUUUCUUGUUGGAUCGAAUUAUCGUUAUUUGGGUCCCCCAAAUUAUGUUCUUGAACUUCCCCGAUUCCCAAAUCAUUUUCAAUAUUUGGAUCAUUCACCCGACACCCAAACUGAUUAGUUUUUACAAUUUUCUCUUGACUUUGAAAGAUAGUUUUAUUCAUGGAAAAGUCCUCUUCGUUGAACGCCACGUCUUUUGAAGUAAAAAUUCUCCGACCGACCGGUUCUAUGCAAAGAUAACACUCCUGAGACAAUAAAUAUCCAAUAAAUAUUCAUUUCGUGGAUUUUGCUUCCAUUUAGUUCUUGCGAUAUGCUCGAAGACAAGUCUUGAACUUAUGGAAUCCGUCACCUUCCAUUGCUAAGAUGUUGAUCGAAGAAUUAAGAAGAUAGAGAUUUUCGAAGAAGAGAGUGGAGAGUUGGGUCGAUCCUUGGUGUGUUAGACUACCAAGGUGUUUGUAUAUAUUAACAAUCAAAAUACAAACACACCUAAAAGUUAAGAUAAAUUACAACUUUACCUAUAACUAAUAUAGGUAACAAACACCUUUAACAUCAUAAAUAAAUAUUCCCCCUCAAGCUGAUGCUUUUGUCAAGAUGAUGAACACACCUAUAACAAUAACCCUAAAGUGGAAGCUUGCUUCGAAGAAUCUGAAAUUUAUCCAAUGGGAGAAGUUUUGUAAACGAAUCUGCAAUUUGAUAUUUCAAAGAAACAUAUUUGACUUGGAGGUGAUUUCGACGUACCAUUUCCCAGACGAAAUGAAAAUCGAACUCCAUAUGUUUCGUACGUGCAUGAAAUACCAGAUUUACGGUGAGAUAUGUGGCACCGAUGUUGUCACACCAUAACAUUGUUGGUCCGACUUGAGUUAUUCCAAUUUCAAACAUUAUUGAUCUUAACUAUAUAAUUUCUGCCGCCGUAUUUACAAGAGCCCGAUACUCCGCUUCUGUUAAUGAUCGAGCCACGGUUUUCGGCUUCCGGGCUGACCACGAUAUCAGAUUGUGACCCAAGAAGAUUGCAUAUGCCCCGGUGCUACGACAAUCGUCCAGGAAGCCUGCCCAAUCAGCAUCUGUAUAUGCAUGGAGUUGCAUUGUCAGAGAUUUUAUAAACUUUAGUCCAUAGUCCAAAGUUCCACAUAAAUAACGGAGUACCCUUUUUGUAACUUGCCAAUGUACAUCCGUUGGAGCAUGCAAGAAUUGACACAAUUUGUUUACUGAAAAAGCCAAGUCCAGACGAGUGAGUAACACGUAUUGUAAAGCAUCGAUAGUGUGGAUCGAUACUGUAGCGGAUUGUCGAACUUCUCACCUGAAUCUAAAGUUAAGAUGCUUGACGGGACCAUCGGAGUCGGAAGCGAUUUUGCACUUAACAUAUUGGUUUUCUUCAAAAGUUUCAAUAUAUAUUGUCUUUGAGUGAGUACCAUAAGAUCAUUAUUUCUGAUAACCUCAAUACUCAAGAAGAACUUGAAGUCUCCAAGCUCUUUAAUUGCAAAUCUUGACACUACAUAUCUGAUAACCUUGCCAAUCAUGAGAGAUGAAGACCCGGUGAUUACGAUAUCAUUGACAUAUACAAGAAGGUAUAUGACAAUCUUAUCUUGCCGGAGAAAAAAUAAUGACGUGUCAGUUUUUGACAGUAGAAAAGCGCCGAAGCUCAUGAGACACUGUCUCAAUUUUUCGUACCAUAUCCUUAUUAUUUAUCAUAUUUCCCGAAGCCGUGCGUGUAUCUGGACUCGCCGUAGCGGAAGUCUCCUCGCCGGACGGGAAGGAAGUAGAAAGGGGGAAGAAGAAGUUGAACACAGUUAAUACUAAAAACUGUUUAGUGGAAAUAUUAUCCUUUUCAUUGAUUUAAAAUUGAUUACAAUGGUUUGUUUAUAUAAUCAAUUAUUUACAUUUAACUAACUAACAAUUUAAAACAGAAUUGGCCCAUUCCUUUCUUUAGCCCAGUCGAAUUGGCCCAUUUCCAUUUAUUGAAACUUUUGCAGUUUUCACCUCCGUCUUUGUUAUAAUGUUUUAUCAGUCGUGAUGAAAUUACCUGCACAUGAAAACUUAAUAGGAAAUUGGUAUAAUAGAAUAUUAGAUAUAUUUAUUUCAACUAAGUCCUCUAUUCAGUUUGAUUUAUAUUUCCCUGUUUGAAUUAUUAAGCCCUGUUUUAAUGGCUUAAUUAAUUAGCUGAUUGUUUGAUAAUUAUUCUUUUACUCCCCCCUCAAGCCUUGGAUUAUAUGUUAAGUAUUCCAAGCUUGGAAUGGGUAGUAGUGAUCUCUUUAUCACCAAGGGCUUUGGUUAAAAAAUCAACCAAUUGAAAUCUAGUUCCUACUUGUUUUAUCAAUACCUUCCCUUGAUUUAUCAUUUCUCUUAUGAAAUGACAGUCAAUUUCUAUGUGUUUAGUUCUUUCAUGAAAAACUGGGUUAUUUGCCAAGUAUAUGGCAGAUUUAUUAUCACAAAAGAGUGUGGUUGGCUUCCUUAUUUUAAUUUUCAGUUCAUCCAUUAAUUGAUGAAGUCAUACUACCUCACAUGUGGUCUGAGCAAUUGCUCUAUAUUCAGCUUCACAAGAUGACCUUGCUACUGUUACUUGCUUUUUAGUUUUCCAUGAUAUUAGAGAAUCUCCCAACAUUAUACAAAAUCCUGUUAAGGAUUUCCUACUGAUUUGGCAUGAUGCCCAAUAUCCUUUAAUGUCUAAAUUCUCAGUUUUAUUAUAUAUUAAACCUUUGCCAGGUACAUUUUUGAUGUAUCUAAUUAGUUUGAAUAGAACUUGGAGAUGUAUCUCUCUUGGUUCAUGCAUGAAUUGGCUUAGCCAAUUCACUGAGAAGCUAAUAUCUGGCCUUGUAAUGUUUAAGUAUGUUAGUUUCCCUACUAUUUUCCUAUAGAAUGUUGGGUUUUGUAUUUUGGAUGAUUUAUCAUCUUUAAGGUUUAUGUGUCUCUCCAUGGGUAUUUUGGAGGGUUUUGCUUCAGAGAGCCCACAAUCCUCUAGUAUUCCUAGAGCAUAUUUUCUUUGUGAGAGAUAUACUCCUUGGUUAGAGUAUGAAACCUCAAUGCCUAGGAAAUAGUUGAGCCUUCCUAGAUCUUUUAGUUUAAAUUGGUUUUCUAGUUAGAUUUUAAUUAUGCCAAUUUCUAACUCAUUGCUUCCUAUUAUAAUUAUGUCAUCCACAUAUACCAAAAGGUAUAAAAUGUUUUGGUUCUUUUCUCAUAUAAACAAUGAAUAGUCUGAUUUGGCUUGAAUGAAACCAAUAUCCAACAAAACACCCCUUAAUUAUUCAAACCAGUUCCUUGAGGCUUGCUUUAGACCAUGCAAGGACUUGUUUAGUUUACACAUCCUUUUAUCUCCUUCUUUUAGGUAACCUUGAGGUGGUCUUAGAUAUAUUUCUUCAUGAAGUUCACCAUGAAGGAAAGCAUUAUUAACAUCUAGUUGGUAUAACUUCCAAUUUUUCAUAGCUGCCACAGCUAUGAUUGUUUUGAUUGUCACCAUUUUAACUACUGGUGUAAAAGUUUCAAAAAAAUCGAAACCUUCUUUUUGAGUAAAGCCUUUGGCUACUAACCUUGCUUUGUAUCUUUCUAUUUCACCAUUUGGCUUAUAUUUUAUCUUAUAAAUCCAUUUAGACCCUAUGGAUUUUCUAUCUUUUGGAAUUUCAGCUAGUGUCCAUGUAUUGUUGUCAAUAAGAGAUUUCAUCUCUCUUUGCACUGCUUCAACCCAAUUUGGAUCUUUUGAAGCCUUACUAAAUGAGUUGGGUUCAUCAUGUAUGGUUAUUUGUUUUAAAAAAUGUUUUUGUUGUUUGCUUAUUCUAUGAUAAGAAACAUGGUUACUCAUGGGAUGUUUUGACCCAUGAUAAUAGUCUUUUUCAUUCUCAAGAUAAUAAUCUUGGAAUUGUUUUGGUUUGGAUAUUUUCCUACCAUAUAGACUAGUUUUCUCAUUUAUUUCAUUUUGGGAUGUCUCUCUGUUAAUUGAUUCUAAAUCCCUGUCCAGAGUAUUUUCCUUUGAAUUAUUCUCUGGUUGAUUGUUAUUUAAAAUGUUUUCUUCUGUUGAUUCAGAAGAUUUUUCUUUUGAAUUGUUCUUUGAGUAAACAUCAUUGCUGUUUAGAGUGUUUUUAUUUAAGAAAAAAGCUUUUGGGCUGUUUUCUGCAUUUUCAAAACUUAUAUCCAUAUCCUCACCAGAAAUUUCUUUUGAAUUGCUCUUUGAUUGAUUUAGGUUAUCAACCAAGUAAUUUUUAUUUUCUGAAUUGUUAUUCAGAUUAUUAUUACUUUGGAUCUCAAAGUAUUGGGUUUUCAAACAAUUGUCUGUCUGUUCUAAAUUAUUAGCAUUCAGACUAUCACCUUGUUCCUGAGAACUAUUUUUAUAAUUAUUUCCAGCCUGAUUUGAACUCAUAACUAUAUGAUUUAUACUUUCUGAAAUAUUUUUAUUAAUAUUCAGAAUGCUAUUACCUUGUCUCUCAUACAAGGUUUCUUUUGAACUGCUAUCUGGCUGCCCUGAGACAGUGUCCAGAGCACCAUAUUUAUUUUCCUGAUUAUAGUUUAGAUUCUGAAUUUUUUCAGUGUCUAAACUUUGUUAUGUUUGAGUUGUUUCUAUAUUUUGAUUUAGAUUCUGAGUGCUAGACUUACUUGCUCUAGAAUCUCCUAAUGAAUUCCCUCUCAACAUCCUUUCUUCAUAUUUUUCAGAAACUUCUGAAUUUGUAUGUUUUUGUUUUGAGUUUUCAUCUUUAGAUGACUUAUUUUUCCUUUUAUUCAUGUAUUCUGAAUUUUGCUCAUGGUCUGAACAUACAAUGGUUCUUCCUUUGUUUUGAACAGGUAUAAAUGAUCUUUUAAUAUUAGAGCUUGGCAUCUGAAUUUUUUCAGAUUUUUUGGACUCUAAUUUCUUUAUCUUGGAUAGAGCUAUCACUACAAGAAAUAAGACCUUGUAGGACGGUCUUUAGAUGGCGGAUUUCCGUCAUCUAAAUGUUUUUAAUUAAAACAUUUAUAAACAGUAAAUUAAAUAAUUCAUAAAUUUAUUAAAAAACAGUAAUUAAGAACAAUAUUAAAUAUUUUUAAUUUAUUUCAAAAUAUGGUAUUUAAAUUAUGAUAUAACUAAAUAAUUAAUUAUUUAAAUAAAAUAAUUAAUUUUAUUAAUUUUCUAGAUUAUUUAUUUAUUUUAAAAAAUUAAUAAUUAUUUAACUAAAUUAAAACAGUAAAUAAAUUAAUUAGGUUAAUUAAUUUUUCAAUUAUUUAAAAACAGUACAUUCUUUAUUUUUUUUUUAAAAUUAUUAAUUAUUUAAUUACAAACAGUAAAAAAAAUAAUUAUUUUAAUUAGUUUCUAAAUUAUUUAAAAACAGUUAAUUAAUUAAUUAUUUAUUAAAAAUUUAAUUAUUUAAUUAAAAACAGUAAAUAAAAUAUUUAAUUUCAUUAUUUUCUACAUUAUCUAAAAUCAGUAAUUAUUUAAUUAAAUUACAAACACUAAUUAUUUAUUUAAAUUAAUCAUAAAUUAUGUCAAAUUAAUUAUAUAAAAUUAAACAAUACAACAAACAACACACAUAAACUAUUUCAUAAAAAAGAUUUUUAAAAUCUCACCAAAAUGGACAAGCGAGGCGACGUAAUCAAGGCAGGACGGAGGCGGUGGCUACCGGAGGCGACCUCGGAACCGGCGUCGACGAAGCAACGAUGCGAGGCAGUCGGCGGAAACGGCUAUUAUUGAAAUUAAAUCAUUGAAAUUAAAACAAAAUCUUCACAUUUCAUAAUUCUUAUGAAAUCAUUGAAAUUCUUAACAUAUCAAAAACCCAACACGAUAAAUUAUUAUUCAUACAUUGAAAUCAAAACUAAAAUAGUAGACACAUGCAUCUUCAUCAUAAACUAUAACAAAACCACCUUAAAUCAAAACAUAAAACCAUUCAAAUAAACAUAAAUCCAUGAUCAUAAACUAUAACACAUCGAAAUCAAUAGAUACACAAAUCAGUAUAUCAAAAACCCAAGUCAAUCAAAAACCCAUUUUAAAAACCCAUCACUUAUAAACACAAUAACUUACCGUAAAAGAUAUCAAACAAACAAAAUCAACAAACAAUAACUUACUGUAAAAGAUAUCAAACUAACAAUCAACACAAUAACUAAAAAAAACAUAAAUCAAACCCAUAAAUCCAUUUCAAAAACCCAACACUUAUCAAAAACAAUCAACACGAUAACUAAUUAAACAUAAAAGAAAAAUUAAACAAUAACAUGCAUGAAUUAAACACAAAACAAACAUUUUAUUCCAUACAUUCAUUCAAGCACUAUGGAUAGAUACAUACAUUCAUUCAAACAUCUAAACAGAAAAUACAUAAACAGUAGAUAGAUAAAUAUUGAAUCUAAACAAUAUGGAUAAACAUUAAAAUAGAUAAAUAUAAAAAAAAUAGAUAAAGAUAGAUAGAUAGAAUAACAUUAAACAAACGAUGAAGAGAUGAAAAAUUAAGGAUGAAAAAAUUAUGAAAAACGAAAAACGUUAAAAAUAUUAAAAACUACCUUCAAAGUUGAGGAAUCGGAGUGGAGAUCGGCUACCGGCGAGGACACAGCGACUGAGAGUGGAGACCGGCGAGGAUAUGGCGGCGUGACCGGCGAGCGCUGACAGCGACGACGAGCGGCGGGGAGACAGGCAGAGCAGCGAUUUCCGGCGGUGAGGGUUUUACACUUAGACAGACGGGAAAUGUCUGUCUGGAUUUGGGGUUUUUUAUAAACCCCAAAACUUAAGUGCACAAAAGUGCCGCCAGCACUAAAGUGAAAGUUCGCCCAAUCGAAAUUUGGGCGGGCUUUUUCCGCCCGAGUCCCUGAAUACUUAACAUGGCAGAUGUCCGCCAUGUUAAGUCAAUUUAAUCGGGUAAUCGGGCUAAAUAUUGGGGGGAAAUCGAAAUUUUGGGUGGGAUAGUUUAGAUGGCGGAUUUCCGCCAUCUAAACACCGCCAUCGAAAAAUAAUUUAAACCGCCGUCGAGCCAAAACCUUUCCUCGACGGAUUCAAAGAAUAGAUGGUGGACAUCCGCCAUCUAAACAACUGGAUUAUUGAUGGCGGAAAUCCGCCAUCUAAAGGCCGCCAUACAAGGUCCUUUUUUUUGUAAUGUAUUUUCAGACCUUGAUGAGGUUUUUUCUUUAUUUUUACAUUCAUAGUGUUGAUAUAUAAGUUUAUUAUAUAAAUCUUCACAUGACCUCAUGUUUUGAGUUUUGGAAUGUUUGUUUUCAUAAAAUUCAUUUUUAAAAGGGAAAACGCUUUCUCUAAAGACUACAUUUCUAGAGAUAUGGAAUUUUUUGGUUUCCAUAUCCAAUAUUAGAUAUCCUUUUGUAUUUGAAGGAUAUCCCAAGAAUUUUCCUCUGAAGGUUCUUGGAAAAAUUUGUGUUCUCUAAUGUUGGUUGUUGCAUAGCAUAAACAACCAAAAAAAUUUAGAUCUUGAUAUUUUGGUGCUUGAUUAUUAAGCACUUCAUAUGGAGUUUUAUUUUGUAAUACUUUAGAUGGUGUCCUAUUUAUUAUGUGAGUUGCAGUUAACACACAUUCUCCCCAAUAGAUCAAAGAAACUCCACCUUUAAAAUGUAAAGAUCUAGCUACUUCCAAUAAAUGUCUAUGCUUUCUUUCUACUAUGGCAUUUUGUUGGGGAGUAUAUGGACACGUUAGUUGGUGUGUUAUUCCAUUUGCUUCUAGCGUAGUUUUAAAAGAAUGUGAGAUAAAUUCACCUCCAUUGUCACUCCUUAUUGUUUUUGCAUUUUUAUUAAAUUGAUUUUUAACUUUUAUAAGAUAAUUCUUUAUGCAUUCUUGUGCCAUAUUCUUUGUUUUUAACAAAAAAACCCAAGUAGUUCUACUUAGACCUUCUACAAUGGUUAAAAAGUAAUUAAAACCAUCAUGGGUUGUAAUUGGGAAUCUACCCCAAAUAUCUAUAUGAAUAAGGUCAAAAAUAUCUUUUGAUUUUGAAAUGUUAUUUUUGUAUUUUAGUUUAGUUUGCUUUGCAAUUGGGCAUACAUCACAUCUAUCUUUAAUUUGAGACAGACUUUUACUUAAUUUUGAAAUACAAUCUUUAUUCAAAAAAUCAUUGUUAUUUUCAACAUCAAUUGUUUUACAAUUAUUAUCUAAAAUACUUGAAAACAUAUUUCCUUUAACACUAAUAUUUUGAGCUUUGAUAAGCAUCUUUAUCUUUUCUGGUGAAAUGUGCCCUAGCCUCUUGUGCCAAGUAUCAACUUCUAUGACUGAAUUUGCAGAAUCAGGGGAUUGUGGCUUUAGAAAGUAAAUGCCAUUUUGACACUCACCCUGCCCAAUCACUUUUCCUGACCUGUUUUCCUGAAAAUUACAUCCAUUUUUGGAAAAAAAUUACAUUUAAAUUUGAGUCAUUUGUUAACCUAUUUACUGAAAUUAAAUUCACCUUAAAUUGUGGAAUAUAAAGCACAUUUUUAAGGAUUAUAUUUUCAGAUAUUGUUAUGUUUCCAGUGGAGAUUACUUUGCAUAUUUCUCCACUGGGAAUGGUCACAUAAUGCUCAAAUUCCCUUUUGGGUAUCAUCAAAACAAUGGAUGCUCCCAGUCAUGUGUUGGGAUGCACCGGUGUCAAUAAUCCAUGCAUUUUUAUAUUCUAAAGUAUUGAAGGAAUAAAACAUACCAGAGGAUUUGCUUAACAAAUCUUUGAGUAGUAGUAACUCCUCACUGCUUAGAUUUGGCACAUUGGCUGAAGUGUUAGCUUGAUUUGCAGAGUCUUUAACUUUGCUGUUUUGAUUUGAUUGGAAAUUCUCUUUCAUGUUUCUCUUUGGGAAGCCAACAAUAUGAAAACAUUCUUCCCUUGUAUGACCAAAAUAUUUGCAAUUACCACAGUAAAAUUUAGUAUCUAGUUUCUUUCCAUUUCUACUAUAUACUCCUCUUUUCUUUGAUUCUUCUUUCUUUUCUUCCUUAUCAUAUUUCUUUGCAAAAAAGGUUGUUGAGUUGCCUCCUAAUUUUUUUCUAAAAUUUGCUUUUUGCCUCUUCUUGUAUAACUAGAGAAAAUACUUGAUUCAUUGAAGGCAAUUCAGAGUAUGCCAAAAUUUGACUUCUUAAAGUCAUAAAAUCUUCAUUUAGACCUAAAAGGAAUUGAUGGGUCCUAUCCUUUUCUAUUUUCUUUGUGUAGAUGGGGCACACAUUGUGCAAAAUCUACACUCAGGUUUCUCAAUCUUUAUAUAUUAAUCCCAUAGAGAUUUAAACUUAUCAAAGUAUAUGGAGAUACUAUCAUUUGAUUGACUUAAGGUGUUAAUUUCAUACCUUAAUUGGCUUGUCUUAGGAGCGUUUUUCUGCUUGUACCUCUCUUGGAGUUCAAUACAUGCUUCAUAGGCCGUGUCUAUGUGAAUCAAUGUUGAGGCUAUCUGUGGGCUGACUCCAUUGAUUAUCCACGACAAAACCAGACCAUUCACCAUCUCCCAGUCUUCAAAAUCCUCCCCUGUUUCAUUCAAUGGUCUUUUAAUUUUUCCAUUAAUAAAUGUUGUUUUCUUUCUUAAAACAAGAGACAGCUUCAUUGAGUUAGCCCAGGCAACGUAGUUUGCCUCGCCUGUGAGUUUAUCAGAAACCAUUUUUGCACCAGGGUGAUCUCCGACAGAUAAAAAGUAUGGAGAUUUUCUUGAAAACUUGGACUUUUCUGUGUGUUUUCUUUUGUUUACAGUACUAGACCUUUUCUUUCUUCUAGAGGAUCUAAAAAACUUACUAUCUUCACCAGAACUUGAAGAGCUUGCUAAUUGCCUUGAAUUUUUUCUUUAAGGUUGAAGAUCCCUCUGAUUCUCCUAAACUGUCAGAGCUAGCUACCAUAUUAUUUAUCAUAUUGACAUCAGCUGAUACCAUAUUAUUUAUCAUAUUUCCCGAAGCCGCGUGUGUAUCUGGACUCGCCGUAGCUGAAGUCUCCUCGCCGGACGAGAAGGAAGUAGAAAGGGGGAAGUAGAAAGGGGGGAGAAGAAGUUGAACACAGUUAAUACUAAAAACUGUUUAGUGGAAAGAUUAUCCUUUUCAUUGAUUUAAAAUUGAUUACAAUGGUUUGUUUAUAUAAUCAAUUAUUUACAUUUAACUAACUAACAAUUUAAAACAGAAUUGGCCCAUUCCUUUCUUUAGCCCAGUCGAAUUGGCUCGUUUCCCUUUAUUGUAACUUUUGUAGUUUUCACCUCCGUCUUUGUUAUAAUGUUUUAUCAGUCGUAGUGAAAUUACCUGCACAUGAAAACUUAAUAGGAAAUUGGUAUAAUAGAAUAUUAGAUAUAUUUAUUUCAACUAAGUCCUCUAUUCAGUUUGAUUUAUAUUUCCCUGUUUGAAUUAUUAAGCCCUGUUUUAAUGGCUUAAUUAAUUAGCUGAUUGUUUGAUAAUUAUUCUUUUAACCCUUUCGUACCGCAAAGAAAGCGUUGUUCACGUCGAUUUUUUUGAUCAACCAUCUAUUUAUAAUAGUAAUAGACAUGCUUAAUUUAACUGUAGUGAAUUUGACUACCAGACUGAAUGUUUCCUGAUAAUCAAUGACUUCCACCUAAUUAAAACAACGAGCAAUAAGUCUUGCUUUACGACGGCUAAAGCUACCAUCUGAAUUUUUCUUGACCUUGAAAAUCCAUUUGCAUGUAAAAAUAUUUGCGCCAUAUGGUAGAAUGACUAACCUCCGUGUCCUAUUUUUAUUUAAUGCAUGUAGCUCUUCCUCCAUAGCCACUCUCCAUUCGGGUGAUUUAAGAGCCUCUUUUACAGAUUUUGGUUCUUCCAAACUUUCUUGGGUGAGAUACAAAUUUGCAAGAGCCCGAUAGUCCACCCUCUGAACAUUUCUUAAAUUUACCGAUCGUGCACGAGGAACAGGAUGUGACGUAUCCGGUGAUGUGAUUUAUGGAACGGAUGAUCCAACCAUAUCUUGAGGUGAUGAAUUUGAGUCCUCAAGGAUAGCCGAACUUGAAAUAUUUUAGGAGGGAACUCUGGAUUUACUUCAGACGGAGGUGGUGUUGGUUGAGCUUUGAUACUGAGAGAGACGGAUCAGGUAGCCAUAUGGGAUCACUUGUGUUAUCUUGGGACGAAAUUUUUAGAUUGAGCCUGAGAUACAAUUUUAGGAAAGAAAGACUUGUCUUCAAGGAAACGACAAUGUCUUGAUAUAAAGAAUUUGUUAGACAUUUGAUCAAAACAAAUAUAUCCCAAGUGAUUACUACUAUAGCCUAAAAACGCACAAGGAGUAAAACGAAAAGCGAACUUAUUAGAAUUAUAAGCCCGAAGAUGAAGAAAACAACACACCCAAACACCCGUAAAAAAUUAUAAUAAGGAUUAUGACCAAAUAAUUUUGUGUGUGGUGGUAUUCCAUGAAUGUGAGAUAUGGUCCUAUUAAUGCUAUAGACCACAUAUGAAAAACAAAGAUCUCAAAAAUAUAAAGGAACAUUAGAAUGGUACAAGAGUGUUAAACCGUUUUGGACGAUAUGACGGAUUUUUCUUUCCGACGUACCAUUCUGUUCCGAUGUGUGAGGACAGGAAGGACGACGAUGAAUACCAGACUCUCGAAAAAUAGGAAGAAGGGAUUGAUACUCUCCUCCGAAAUCGGAUUGGAACAUCUUGAUUUUUGUUGAAAAUCUAUUUUCAACUAACUUCUGAAAUGUGACAAAAAUUUGAGAAACGCGAUUUAUUUUUAAGAGGAUAUAGCCAAAUAUAUCUAGAAAAAUCAUCAAUGAAAAUAAUAAAAUAUCGAUGAUUAGAAAAAGAUGACAUAGGUGUCGGCCCCCAAACAUCACUAUGAAUUAAUUCUAAAGGGGCCCAACAUUUUGAGUUUGUAGUUGGUAGAUGAAGUUUAGAACUUUUACCAACUAAACAAAACACAGAAUUAUUGAAAACAGAAGAAGAAGCAAUGAUAUUUGAAAAUUGAAGAGUUUUUUCUAGUCACCGACUCGCAUGGAUGACCAAGUCUUUGAUGCCAACGGUCCAGUGAAUACUUUUUCGUUAGAUUGACUUGCGGAACUGAAUUUGAGAGUUGGUAGAAAGAUCCAUCAUGUGAACCUUGAAGUAGAACCCGAUGACUAACCUGAUCCUUAAUGAAGAAAUGAUAAGGAUAAAACACCAAAUAACAUUUGUUAUAAAAAGAGAACUUAUGGACUGAAAUUAAAGAUUUCGAAAUAGAGGAUUGAGCAAAUUUUUAAGUUGAAAAGUAGAGGUUUGAGUUUGCAAUAUACCCUCCCAUAGUGUUGUAUGGGUUGCUUGGACCCAUCACCCAAACGGGCUGACCCACUCGCGAAUUGGCGAUUCAUGUUAAGAAAAUCUGCAACGUGAGGAGCAAAAUGAUGGAUGGCGCCAAAGUUCACCACCCAGUCCGGCGAGACGACUGAUGACAUCGGAGAUCCCCCGUACGAGCUCGCCUGAGCCACAUACGCCAAUGGCGACGCCGGAGGUGGAGCUUCUGAUGGGUGCGGUGAUGUUAGAUUCCGGGAUUGGGCCACCGCCGCCGCUGCUUGUAUUCUGAACGGACACUUGUAUGGUCCGUGUUCCAAACUCUCACAGAUUGGACACGGAUCACGGCGGUACCCUCCUCUCGCCGGCUUCCCAGAUGUUGUGCUCCCAUUUUGAUUUUCAGAUUAGUUUCCAUCGGAUUGGUUCCCUCGAUUUCCAGAAUUAUUUCCCCUCCAUUUUUUUCCUUUAUAGGCAGUGUACUGUGUUGUCGUCGUUGAGAAAUUCGUUGCCGCAAUAUGUCCCAACCAGAUCUCGUGAUUGAGCAAAGUGAUUCUCAUAGUUGCAAAAUAUGGGGAUUCCUCCCUUGCCGAUAAUGCCAGUACGAUCUCUAAAAAUUCACCUCCGACAUUGUUGAAAAUAGCGGCAUUGAAGGUGCCUUUGUCGAGAAUCGUUCUUGCUGCAGCUAGUUCAUCAAUAAUUAAUCGCACCUGCUGGAGAUAUGCAAGCACAUCUUGGUCUCCUUUGCGAAGGUUGAACAGUUGCAUUUGAAUUUGCACAAUCUUGAUUGCGUCGGAGCACCAAACGUUGCCCAGAGUGUUUCCCAAAUCUCCAACGAUGAGAUGAGUCUGAUUGUGUAUGCAAGACUUCCUCGGUUAGAGAUGAGAUUAACCAACUCCUAAGUAGUUGGUCCUUCCUCCACCAAUUCAAGAAUGCCGGAUUCAUCGUCGGACCAUCCUUGCCGGAGAUAAGUUUUUCCGAUGCCGGAAUUGACGAAUCGAUUACACAGUGGAGAUCGGUGUAGUUGAAGAUUGGAUCGAAUUGAUUCUUCCAAAGAAUGUAGUUGGAAGAGCUUAGCUUGACAUUGAGAAGAUGGUGGAGUAAUCCCAAGUUUGGAGUCGCCGGUGUGAAAGAUUCAUCGGAUGAGAUGAUUGAGCUCAUCGAAGGUGUCACUGCGUCGAAUGGCUCUGAUACUGAUGAAGCACUGAAUCUGCUACCAGGGCUCGCGGUGGUGCGAGGUUGAUGCCGGAGGCUUUGGAGUCCACGACGCACGCUCUACGUCAAAUACCUGCAAGUGGAAACUAGGCGAUUCUAAUGAGACUCGCCGAGUUUCGUAGUGAUGCUCUGGUGUGAGAGAGGAACUUGAAUCGUGCCUUUGAGUGUCCCCUUGAGACCCUUUUUAUAGGGUCUCGGAGGGCGCAAUCAAAGGCGGACAUCACGCCUAUGGUCAUAUAUGAUAACAUUUAUGACGUUGGCUGGCGGCGAGUAACGGUCGUAAGUCGCCGAUUCAGGUAUGGAAGUCGCCUAGUUAGGGCUAACUCGGCGAGUUUCUAGGGCCAAGAUGUACAGUCUACCAUACUGCCGAUCUUGCCUUAACUCGGCGAGUUAUCCUGUAUGUCGGCGACUUGGUAGUCCAAUCGGACGACUUACGGGCAAACUCGGCGAUCUGGACGAUGAACGUGUUCCGCACCGUGGGAGCUCUCCGGGGGUCCUGCCAUAGCGACGGAGCCCUAGUCCUUGUUGUAAGGUGUUGCUGGUAGUGACUGACGUAAUCAGGCAUGUCUCACCAUUACUCCCCCCUGAAGAGAGCACAAGAAACAUGCGUGUAUCUCCAGUACCCCCCCCCCAAUCAAGGUUCAAUGUGUGUGAUCCAGCACCAAGGCCAAAGCGACAAGAUGAGAUCGAAUCAUCCACCCACAGUAACGUAACGAUUCAGAAUCCAUAGGCCAAAGCGUCAAGAAUGGAUCGAGUUCCAGGCCAUGGUAACUCUGUUUAUAGUCCUUCCCUGAUCAAGGGCGACUGCACUGUGUUAUCGAGGCCGAAGCGACAAGAUAAAUUCCGGCCAAAGCGACGGAAUACGAUUCAGGCCGGAGUGACAGAAUCGGGUUCUUGACAGAGCGAUAGAACCAAGUUCUAGCCGAAGCGAUAGAACUAAUGUUUAUAGUCCACUCUGAUCAAGAGCGACUUAAAGUCCGCAACGACGGCCCCCUUCAAGGCUUUUUAGCGACAAGAUGGGUUGAGAUCGUUAAGGCCAAAGCGACAGAACGAUCUCUAGUGUAUCAAGGCAGAAUGAGACAAGAUACUUGGACUCACUAUUAGAGUCUUAUUCUGGCCAAAGCGACAGAAUAAUACCUGCAAAAAAGAAAAACAUUCUGGCCAAAGCGACAGAAUAAUAUAUGCAAAAAAGAAAACAUCCUGCAAAACAACUAGAUCAGUCUAAAAACGCAUAUGACUAUUGACCGAUUUUACCUCUUGCGAUAUUCUUCUCUUUACUUUGAUCAAUCCUCGGUGAAUCUGGCUGAAGCGACAGACUCACUGUGCUCAUGUUUGACGACUUCUCUGGCCAGAGCGACAGAAGUGUCGGGAGAGCUUGUGAUACUCCCCCCUGAAUUUUGACAAUUUCCGGCCGGAGCGACAGAAAAGUCGGGAGAGCUUGUGUUACUCCCUCCUGAGUUUUGACGAUUUCCGGCCGGAGCGACAGAAAAGUCGGGAGAGCUAAUGAUACUCCCCCCUGAAGUUUGACGAUCUCUAGCUGAAGCAAUAGAAAUGUCGGGAGAGCUUAUGAUACUCCCCCUCGAUGUUUGAAAAUUUCCGGCCGGAGCGACUGAAAAGUCGGGAGAGCUUGUGAUAUCCCCCCUGAAGUUUGACGAUCUCUAGCUGAGGCGAUAGAGAUGUCGGGAGAGCUUGUGAUACUCCCCCUCGAUGUUUGACAACCUCUAGCUGAAGCGUUAGAGAUGUCGGGAGAGCUUGUGAUACUCCCCCUCGAUGUUGUGGAAGGGGGCUUGUAAUUUUCCCCCUAAGAUACUAUAAGAUAUCCUAAGUCGGCGACUUAAGGUGUUAACUCGCCGACUUAGCAUUGGGGUUGUUUUUUGAGGAACCUGGAGGUUUGCUGAAGGGAGUUGUGAUAUUCCCCCUUAAAAUAUGACGAUUUCUGGCCGGAGCGACAGAAAUGUCGGGAGAGCUUGUAAUACUCCCCCUCGAAAUUUGACAAUUUCCGGCCGGAGCGACAGAAAAGUCGGGAGAGCUUGUGAUACUCCCCUUUGAAACCUGCAUAAAAAUAUGUUCUGGCUGAAGUGGUAGGAGUGUCAGAGAGAGUUUGUGAUACUCCCCCCGAAUUGUGAUAACUUCUGGCCGAAGCGACAGAAGUAUCGUGGAGAGUUUGUAAUACUCCCCUUGGAAUGAGACGACUUCUAGCCAAAACGACAGAAGUGUUGAUGAGAGUUUAUGAUACUCUCCUCCAAAGAUGGGCGAGACGGCUUCCGGCUAGAGUGACAGAAGCGUCGGAGAGAGUUUGUGAUACUCCCCCUGAAAUCGUGCCGUUGUGACAGAUUGUAGAGUUAUGCUUUGGAUGUUUGUGUCCGAGGCGAUAGAAGUAUUGAGGAGAGCUUGUGAUACUCCCCUUGAAAAUCAUGUCAAACCGACAACUUUUAAAAUAUUGGUGUAACGGAGGUAUUGGAGGGAGCUUGUGAUACUCCCCCCGAGAAUCAUGUCGUCGUGACAUAUGAAAUGAAUUUUCGAAAUAUUUUGCAAUCUUUCUAUUUUGAUUAUCAAUGAACUACCUUCUGUCUUUUCUUUGCCAAUCUUCCAUAUAAACCACCUUUAAAUUGUAACCUAGGCUCGAAACUAGAUUCACAAGCCGUAACUUAGCCACUCUGGACGUAAGUUAGACUCUGCUAACCCUCGCUUAGCCACUCUGGACGUAAGCUUGGUCGUACGAAUCGUAGUUCAGUCGUCAGUUAAAUUAGUGGAUAAUUUAUAUCUCCAAAUUGACGCAGAGUUGCAAAGAAUAGUACCAAUAAACCAAAAAUUAAGAUGCACAAUAUUAUUUGGAAUCGUAGGGUUGGAUCCGCAAUUUAGGACUACAAUUCUAGAUUUGAACCCCGGUGUUUUAGCUAAGCUCCAGCCAUAGCGAUAGAGUGACUCUCGAUCCUCAUCAAGGCCAUAGCGAGAAGAUGGGAUAUGAUCAUUAAGGUCACAGCGACAAAAUUAACACCAGGGUACCAUUAAUUGUAGUCGCAAAUAUUUAGAAUCUCAUGGUUUGAUUCGUAAAUCGGAGUCGUAAUUUAGAUUCUUAAGUCGCAUCUUGGACUUGUAAAUUGUAAACUUGACUUGUAAUCGUAAUUUAGACUCUUUGUCGUAAAUUAGAUUUUGUAAUCAUCACUUAGACUCGUGGGUCGUAAGCUAGAUUUGAGUAACGGGUGUCAUCCGGCCAAAGCGACGGAUUGAUCCCUAUGAAAUUAUCCCUUGUAGGUUUGCUAUAUUAAUCCUAGAACCGUAACGUAGGCUCGAAACUGGACUCGCAAAUCGUAAUUUAGACUCUUUGUCGUAAAUUAGAUUUCGAAAGAGAACUUAGAUUCAUAAAUAUUUGGAAUCUUAGGGUUUGAUUCGUAAAUAUUCGUGAGAGUCGUAAUUUAGAUUCUUAAGUCGCAUCUUGACUCGUAAAUCGUAAACUAAACUUGUAAUCGUAAUUUAGACUCUUUGUCGUAAAUUAGAUUUUGAAAGAGAACCUAGAUUCAUAAAUAUUUUGAAUCUUAGGGUUUGAUUCGCAAAUAUUCGUGAGAGUCGUAAUUUAGAUUCUUAAGUCGCACCUUGGACUUGUAAAUCGUAAACUAGACUUGUAAUCGUAAUUUAGACUCUUUGUCGUAAAUUAGAUUUUGAAAGAGAACCUAGAUUCAUAAAUAUUUGGAAUCUUAGGGUUUGAUUCGCAAAUAUUCGUGAGAGUCGUAAUUUAGAUUCUUAAGUCGCAUCUUGACUCGUAAAUCGUAAACUAGACUUGUAAUCGUAAUUUAGACUCUUUGUCGUAAAUUAGAUUUUGAAAGAGAACCUAGAUUCAUAAAUAUUUGGAAUCUUAGGGUUUGAUUCGCAAAUANNNNNNNNNNNNNNNNNNNNNNNNNNNNNNNNNNNNNNNNNNNNNNNNNNNNNNNNNNNNNNNNNNNNNNNNNNNNNNNNNNNNNNNNNNNNNNNNNNNNUUGUAAUCGUAAUUUAGACUCUUUGUCGUAAAUUAGAUUUUGAAAGAGAACCUAGAUUCAUAAAUAUUUGGAAUCUUAGGGUUUGAUUCGCAAAUAUUCGUGAGAGUCGUAAUUUAGAUUCUUAAGUCGCAUCUUGACUCGUAAAUCGUAAACUAGACUUGUAAUCGUAAUUUAGACUCUUUGUCAUAAAUUAGAUUUUGUAACUAUCACCUUGACUCGUGGGUCGAACAGAUGAUAGAUAAGGUCGAAGCGACGGAUGUCACCCAGUCGAAGCGAUGGGCGAUUGAUCCGUCUGAAGUGAUGAAUGAUUAUUCUAAAUGUGGCAUGCAUNNNNNNNNNNNNNNNNNNNNNNNNNNNNNNNNNNNNNNNNNNNNNNNNNNNNNNNNNNNNNNNNNNNNNNNNNNNNNNNNNNNNNNNNNNNNNNNNNNNNNNNNNNNNNNNNNNNNNNNNNNNNNNNNNNNNNNNNNNNNNNNNNNNNNNNNNNNNNNNNNNNNNNNNNNNNNNNNNNNNNNNNNNNNNNNNNNNNNNNNNNNNNNNNNNNNNNNNNNNNNNNNNNNNNNNNNNNNNNNNNNNNNNNNNNNNNNNNNNNNNNNNNNNNNNNNNNNNNNNNNNNNNNNNNNNNNNNNNNNNNNNNNNNNNNNNNNNNNNNNNNNNNNNNNNNNNNNNNNNNNNNNNNNNNNNNNNNNNNNNNNNNNNNNNNNNNNNNNNNNNNNNNNNNNNNNNNNNNNNNNNNNNNNNNNNNNNNNNNNNNNNNNNNNNNNNNNNNNNNNNNNNNNNNNNNNNNNNNNNNNNNNNNNNNNNNNNNNNNNNNNNNNNNNNNNNNNNNNNNNNNNNNNNNNNNNNNNNNNNNNNNNNNNNNNNNNNNNNNNNNNNNNNNNNNNNNNNNNNNNNNNNNNNNNNNNNNNNNNNNNNNNNNNNNNNNNNNNNNNNNNNNNNNNNNNNNNNNNNNNNNNNNNNNNNNNNNNNNNNNNNNNNNNNNNNNNNNNNNNNNNNNNNNNNNNNNNNNNNNNNNNNNNNNNNNNNNNNNNNNNNNNNNNNNNNNNNNNNNNNNNNNNNNNNNNNNNNNNNNNNNNNNNNNNNNCUGUUUAGACCUAUCCCAGAAAAGAUUCCUUGCACUGUUGGGAAAUUCUGCUCUUUGGUACUCGUAGAGAAAACUUUUCUCACGUGAUAUGUGGUCUCAGAAUCCCAAAAUCAGAUCUGGGUAUUCCGGAGGUGGACCGACGAAAUCACUGGAAGUGAAAAAAGGCGAAAAUCUCCAUACUCUUUUUUUUUUUUUACCGAAACGACGAGGCAAAUCCAACCGUGGCGAUGGUUUUUCGUUUCGGUAAAAGAGCUGGGCUAUGAGUGGUCUUAUUCAGCCAAAGCGAUGAAUGAAGACGAUGAUCGAAUGGACGAGUUUGCCCCAAGAUAGGCGAGUUUGCCCAAGAUAGGCGAGUUUGCCCCUUGAUAGGCGAGUUUGCCCUAGAUAGGCGAGUUUACCCCUAGAUAGGCGAUUUUUGCUUGGGAAAAAUCGAACCUAUGUGAAGACGUAAGUUCCAAAGCAAAGGAUGACUUGACCGAGCUUGUUCAAAAAACAAAGAAAUAAGUCGGCGAGUUAGGGGAAAACUCGGCGACUUUAGAUUUCGAGGUGUUUUUCGAACAAAGUCGUGGACAGCACUCUUAGCUAGCAGACGAUAUCCUGAUCGGGCGAUUCUCAAGGAUAAGUCGACGAUUUAAGGCUAAAUCAGACCUGAACCGAGAAUCGGACGAUCUAACUCGGCGACUUUUUAACAAACUCGGCGAACCCUCUAGGAGAGCUCGAGCCGGAUUUUUAAAAAAUCGCGAUUACGACGGGAUACCGGUGGUUCGGUAGUCCCACAGACGGCGCCAGCUGAUAAAGCACUGAAUCUGCUACCAGGGAUCGCGGUGGUGCGAGGUUGAUGCCGGAGGCUUUGGAGUCCACGACGCACGCUCUACGUCAAAUACCUACAAGUGGAAACUAGGCGAUUCUAAUGAGACUCGCCGAGUUUCGUAGUGAUGCUCUGGUGUGAGAGAGGAACUUGAAUCGUGCCUUUGAGUGUCCCCUUGAGACCCUUUUUAUAGGAUCUCGGAGGGCGCAAUCAAAGGCGGACAUCGCGCCUAUGGUCAUAUAUGGUAACAUUUAUGACGUUGGCUAGCGGCGAGUAACGGUCGUAAGUCGCCAAUUCAGGUAUGGAAGUCGCCUAGUUAGGGCUAACUCGGCGAGUUUCUAGGGCCAAGAUGUACAGUCUACCAUACUGCCGAUCUUGCCUUAACUCGGCGAGUUAUCCUGUAUGUCAGCGACUUGGUAGUCCAAUCGGGCGACUUACGGGCUAACUCGGCGAUCUGGACGAUGAACGUGUUUCGCACCGUGGGAGCUCUCCGGGGGUCCUGCCAUAGCGACGGAGCCCUACUCUUUGUUGUAAGGCGUUGCUGGUAGUGACUGACGUAAUCAGGCAUGUCUCACCAGAUACCAUCUUAAACUUAUGGAAUCCGUCACCUGCCAUUGCUAAGAUGUUCGUUCGAAGAAUGAAAAAGAUGGAGAUUUUGGAAGAAUAGAGUGGAGAGUUGGAUGUCUUACCGUACUAAUAAAGGUAACAAUCAAAAUACAAACACAUCUAAAAUUUAAGAUAAAUUACAACUUUACCUAUAACUAAUAAAGGUAACAAAUACCUUUAACAAUAUAAACAAACAACAAGGAUAAUAAGUGUUGUCGAAGACUCUGAAUCUACCGUACUACGGUGAUCUUCCCAGUAGAGCCUCAAGUAGUGAUUUACCGUUAACAAAGGGGUUGGGUUUCUCUUAUACAAAUAACCUGCCGUGACAAUUCCAAAAUCUCAGAAUUGGUUUGGUAGAUUGGCAUGACGCAACAUAGUGACCGUGUAUCGACCAAGUGACGAUGCCUCAGUUCUGCACUACCCAUUUGCUGGUUGAGUAUAGUGCCGACAAUCGAUGUGCGAUGCCCAAUUCUUCCAACCUCUUUCCAAGCUUCAAGUACUCCUUCGCAUUAUCUGUUUUUAAUGCCAAAAAAUUUCUUCCAUAUUGCCGCUCAACCUAACAUCUGAAUUUGUUAAAUAUUUGAUAGAUAUCUGUCUUACGAUACAUCACAAAAACCAAAUUAAAGUUAGUGUUGGCGUCAACGAAGUUGACGUAUUAGUGGUACCCUUGGAACGAGAUUACGGGAGCCAGUCCCCAUAUGUCCGAGAAUACGAGCUCCAAUGAUUUGUAUGAUGUUUUACGGGAGGGGUGAGGAAGCGCAUGCGACUUUCCUAAUUGACAAGGAUUACAGAGGCUCGGCGAUUUCGAAACACAUUUUAUUACAUCUUGUUUCUCAAGAAUUCACAUGUAAAAUGAAUUCAAAUCCCCUAGACGACAAUGCCACAAGAAAUGUGAUAUUUUUUCACAAGAAUUUAUAUAAUUUGUAUCACAACUCGUCUUCAUCGGCAGCUCGAACAGUCCGCCGUUCACUCCCCCUUCAGUAUAACUUCAUUAUUACCCAAAUGAAAAUAAAUAGAAAUAUUAUUGUCGCAAGAAAAUCGAUUUACAGAUAAUAAAUUUCGUGUGGCAGAAUACACAAGUAACAAAUCUUGAAGCAUAAAAGAAGAUGUGGCAAUCUUGGCCACACUUUGCCUAGAUUAUGUAAUCGGAAGUGGAGUACCAUUGGUGGUGUAGAUGAAAUCUUUACCAGUAUACAGGUGCUGAAUAUUAUUUUGAGUAGUUGUGAUGUGUGAUGUGGCUCCCGAGUCGAGAUAUCACAUCGUCAUUGCAUCCGAUGCCGUGUGAUGUGUAAUUGUGUUGACCGACCCCCGACUACUUCCGUUAGGGCCAAGUGGCGAUAAUAUUCGGCUGUGAAUUCGGUGGGAAUCGAGUUAAAUUGAUGUGGUUGUAAUAGUCGACUGCUCCAUGUCCUUUUUGGGAGUUACUGUAUUCUUUGCCGCAACGUGAACUUCAAUGGAGUAGGGGAUUUGAGGUGCGUUUCUUGAAUCCAUCCACAGAUCUUGAUCCAUGAGAAGCUCACCCAGUUCUGAAAAUGUUAGUUUUGGAUCAUAGCGUGUCGUGACGGGCGUUACGAAGAAUUCAUAUUCGUCGCUGAGACCUCCAAGGGUGAUCAAGAUUACUUCCGAUUCUUUUAACUUUUACCCUGUAGCAGCGAGCGCAUCUUUAAGGAUUGAAAUUUUGGAGAUAUAUUCAUCCAUGGUCAACCCUCUCCUAUCGAUUGUAAUUGUAAUCGAAGAUGCAGGUUCCGAGUCUGUAUGCCUGAUGUAUAAAGGCGAUGAAGGCAGGACCAGACACCGAUGGAAGUUCUGUAUGAUGCGACUUGUGGAAGAAUUGACGUCGGUAUCCUCGUUACGAUCCAACUUAAAAUCAACUAAUCCUGUUGAAUCUUCUCCGGUGAUGAAAGCUCGACCUCCCCACACACCUACUCAAACAGCUCGAACACACGUAACAUAGCGGAAAAUUGCGUCUCCCAAGAGAAGUAAUUGUUCUUCUCAAGAAGUACGCAUCUGAUCGGCUUUGUAACGAUCUUGGAUGAUCUAACCGAUCUAUUAGCAGCAUAAAAUGAUGGUGCUUGACUCGUCAUUGAAGAGAGUCCACUUCUUGUGAAUGCUUAACCAAGCAGCUGAUACCAUAUAUAUAAGAAUAACUGAACUUGUAUUCAAACUUGAUGAUGAGUUAUUACAUUGUAUUGUUAUUUAUAGAUUUACUAAUAAACUAUAUUUAGUUAUUAGUUAGUUAACAACCGCCACAUGGAUUAUGUGGCUCCAUACACUCCAUAUUGUGCGAUAUUCCCAGAAGACUUCAAACAACUUGUCAACCCACAUUCCUUUUACUUAUUCUAUUUUCUUUUUAAACCAUUGAAUGAUUGCUUUGUUGGUAACAUCGAUUUGUCUCGUACAUUUAUUACAAGAAAACAGACGACGGAUUUUGACGUUUUCUAAAUUUAAAGAAAGAUUUAGUAAAAAUCCACAAUACUAGGGACAGCUUAUAGAGUUGAUGAAGCCAUCCCUAAGGAUACUAAGGAUUAGAUAAUCCGUCCCUAAUUUAUAAAUUUUCUACAGGGUUAGCGACCGCUUUUAAAAAUGAGGGCUUUUAAAAAAACCCUCAUUUUUUGUGUGAUAAUUUUUGUACAUAGUUAGGAACGACAUUCCAUAUAAGUCGUCACCUUCAUUACUAAUUAGCGAAGUCUUUUUGAAAAGCCGACUCUAAUUUUGUUUUUUGAAAUAACCUUUCUAAUCAUUUAUAAUAAUUUAUUAUUUUUAUAUAGGGACAGCCGACAGGAGGUCCUCCACCUUAUUUACGGAUGGAUGUGUGCGGACAAUCCCGACCAAUUUCAAUCUCACGAUGACUUCAAAUAAUAUUAAAAUAUUUCCAAAACUUCACAAUCCCCAAUAUCACAACAAACCACUGUUAAUCUGCUCAAAAAAUUUAAUUUAACGGCUGUCAUUCCAUAUCACAUUUGGAUGGUCAUUGCAGGUGCACACUCAGCCGCAAAUAAGGUGCCAAUUUAUAUAAUAUUAUAUUACUUUAGGUUUGUUUAUAUAAAGUUACCCAUAAAAUAUAUUAUUUACAAUCUAUCUACCCAAAAUAUAUUAUCUAAAUUCACCCUAAAUCGUAAAACCCCAACUUACCAUUUCUUCCACCAGAUUCCAACUCUCUAAAAAGUUUGGGUAAGGUAAACAGGUGGGAAGAUAAAAGGUUACAUUCUUAGGAUGAGGCCUGACAAUGACUCAAUGCUCUCUCAAAUGAGUAACUUAUCAAAUGAGUGCAAAAGAAAUCGAAGGAAAGAAAAUAGAAGGCUUCGAUUUAUGUGUAAAACAAGCCGUUAACAAAGAAAUGGUAGCAUUGAAAAAGCAACGAGAGAGACAAAGGAAAUGCUGGAGAAUUGCAUGUUUACUUAAGCGUUUUAGAUAUCGCUGAUACAGGAUUGUACACUAGCCCUUCCCGUCAAAAGGGACUAAGGUUUCGUUCGCUUUAUGUCAGACUCUUGGAAGAUACCCACGGAAACGGAAUCAAAAGUCUUCGUCGAGACCCAAGUCAACCCUCCAAAUUGUCAAUUGGGCCUGCCAUAUCGACUUCUCCCUCAAACUCAUCGGUUCCAACCCAAAUCGCCAAUUUCAGAGCGUUACUCGCGUCCAGUCUAGGCGUCAUAAUGGCUGCCAUUAUUCCCAGAACAUGAUCUCCGUUCUAGAUAGCGCCUCUCGAGGCCCUAUAAAAGGGGACCGCUGGAGCACAUCAAAGGCAUGAGUUCCACACCUUCCAAAGCGACAUUUACUGAGCAAAUCGCCGAUUUUCUCCCCUGAAGACUUGACGUAGAGUGUGCGUCGUUGAGUUUAGAGCCUCCGGCACGAGAAGAUGACCGCUCGCACCACCACGAGCGCUUGUAGGAUUAUUUAUUCCUCAUCAGCUGUUGACCUGUCGUCGUCUGUAGGAGGAAAAUCGAACUCACUGAUUUCUCUUGCAAAUCGUCGAUUUUUUGAAACCGUCGAUUGUUUGUAAGUUUUCUACCGUCGUAGGCCUCCGACCGCGAAGCUCUGCCAAAUUUCCCUGGUGCAAAAAAUUGUUGAUUUUGACUAGUCUAAUCGUCGAUUUGUACCUGGUUUUUGGUGACUUCUUCAACUCAAUUAAGGGACUUUAGUCCACUAAGUCAAAUUGCAGAUUUCAAUCUCAAAUCUCCGAUUUGGUCUUCUAGCUUGGUCAUCUAUACAUUCAUCGCUUCGGCUGAAUUAGACAACCCACGGUCCAUCGCUUCGUCUGGGUGCAUAAUCAAUCGCUUCGACUGGAUUCAUUUCUUCAUAGGUGUAAUCUGAUAAAAAAAUCGACGAUUCAGUAGGGGCAAUCACCGAUUUUUCUGUAAUAAUCGUCGAUUCCCCUAGGGCUAAUCGAUGAUUUCUUUUCAACAAAAGGCCAAAUGUCAAAUUCAGGCCCAUAGGUUUCGCGGAACUCAAUGUGAAAUCACUCACGGGAAUCUUCGAUUUCACAAGUGAAAUCGCCGAUUUCUUGGAGGAACUGGCAAUCAGCAUUCGCUGAGCUACCAUCAAUAUUUCUUUAUUUACAGAUGGCCUAAUCGGCGAUUCCACAUAGGAACUUGCCGAUUUAUGGACGGUUUGGGGCGAACCCUCAGUGAAUGUGGAAAUCGGCAAUUCAACCUGGUUGAUCGUGUCGAUUAUGUAACAACCACAAAAAUUGUUAAGGGUCUAAAUGCAAAUAACAUAUCCACUCAGGUGUUAGUUAAGGUAAAUUUAAUCAUAUUAACCUAAAGUGUUUAAUAUGAUUAAUCAUUUAGGAAGUUAAUAUAAUUUAUCAAAAAAAGAGCUUAAUUAAUUAAGGGAGUAAAAAUAAUUAUUUAACUAAGUAUUAGAAGGUAAAAAUAAUUAUCUAAAUAAAAAGUUAAAUAUGGAAAUUCCAUCACAAGAUCUCUCCAUUAACUUUUAUCUAAUCAACCAACAUACCAAUCAUUCAUAUUGUUAUAUUUUUUAUUGGAUCAUUUAUAAAGUUGAAUCAAUUUUAAUUAACUUGGCGGGUUAAUUAAAUUAGAUGGAUUAAACCCAACUAAUGGGCUAGUCAACUAGAGCCUACCACACUAGUCGACUAGGGUUAGAAAUGGGGAAGAAGUGGAGGUAAAUAUAUAUCUUAAUUAGUUGGCACUAAUCAAGUAAAAAGGAAGUUUUUGAAAUAAUUUGAAUUAAAACUUGAAAUUAAGUUUUUGAAAUUUAAGUUUGAUGUUUGGAGAUAAUGUUUGAAUGUGGAUAUAUUUGUGAUAAAAUUGUUGGGAUAUUUAUAUAUGUUUAAGAUAAAGUUAGUAGAUUAAGGUUUUAGCAAGUUUCAAUUAUUUAUAAAGAUUUAUCAAUUUGAAUUCGAUUUCUAUGUUUCGUAAGAUUUAAGAUUUUUCUUGUUAAAACAUUAAAAUCGAGUUGGGCUGAUUAUAUGGGUAUGUUACAGAUUUUCAUAGAGUUUUAUUUAAUUGAAAUUUGUAAAUCAUAUAGAGCUAAAUAAAAGGGUAUUUUACAUAUGUCCUUUGGGUUUUAUAUACUUAAAAUUAAUAAAUUGUUUAAUGCUAAAUCAAAGCAUAUUUUGCAUUUAUGCUUAGAAUUUUAAUUAAUAAAAAUCGAUUGGGAUUAAAGGGGUUAAUUAUUUUUUUACAUGCAUUAGUUUAUUUCAUGAAAUAUUACUAUUUAUAAUGAGAUUGAAUGAGAUUAACAUAUCAUAAAUUUUAUGGUUGUUCUAAGUACUAAGGUUGUUGAAACUUUAUAUGUUUUCUUUUCUUUUUUUGGGUUUGUACAACUCAUUUAGGAUGAAUUACUAUAAUAAUAAUUGUAUAAAUUAUAUGAUUGAUUUAAAUGGAAAGUUUGUUAUGUGUUUCCAUUUUGAUAUUUGUGUAAAUCAAUUAAGGUGAAUCAUUUUGGUAAAUAUAAUUGUACUGAUUUUAGAGUUGAUUUAAGUGGAAGGUUUGUUAUAUGUUAACUAUAUGUUUUCAUUUAAUAUUUGAGUAACUCAAUUAGCAAUUAGAGUUGUAUCACUAUGGUAAUACUCUCAUAUUUAAUUAAAAAGGGGAAAGAGUGAAAAUGUAAUAGGUUUGACUUGGUGACGGUUUGACCUAAGGACCAAAGGUUUAGAUAAACCUAGCUUGUUGGACCAACCAUGGGUUCGAGGUAACACCUAAGAUAAAUUAAAGAGUCCUCGGGAAGAACUUUAGUUCACCUUAUGGUCUACUUCGAACUCAAGUUCACCUGGUAAAGGUGUUUGGGAAUGGAAGCCUAGAACCAGAGAAUGCCUUGGGUGUACGAGUGAGGUCGGGAGUUUUCGGGAAGACCUUCUGCUCACAUUAGGGUCUAGCGUAGAUCUUAGUUCACGUUUGGGAUUCAAACCCAACCUCAAUUGGGUCAAAUCUAAACGCACACGGGUUAGGAGAGAUUAAUUGGACAUACCACGUCUGACUCAAAUUUUCUAAAUCCUAACUGUGGGUGUAGUUUAAGAUGUUGACCGGGUGGAGCUGUCAGAGUUAGCCUGACAAAAGGCAAGGAAUCAAACUGAAAAUAUACGUUGGAAUAAAUGUACCCUUUGGAGAGUCUAUGUUAUUAUGCCCUUCGAGGAGUCUGAAUUAUUUUGCCUGUUGGGCAAUCUGAUAAGUUAUUGUGCCCUUUGGGGAGUCUGAGCUAUUGUGCCCUUCGGGGAAUUUGAGUUAUUGUUCCCUUCGGGGAAUCUGAAUAAUAUUAAUUGUGCCCUUCGAGGAGUUUAAAUAUUGAUUGUGCCCCGACAUGGGAGUCUGGUUGGGUGAACCCAUAGGAGACCUCAGUUUAAUAUGGAUAAUUAGGAAUGCCCUUCGGGCAGUUGGAAUUGACGAACACAUGGGGGAAAUCGAGUAUGAGCCUGACAAGGUGAAUGGCCCGACGGGUCAGUUUGGUAGGAUCACUUCUCCAGGAUAAUUCGAGUCUAGUUGAGAUUAUUGUAGGAGUCUCGUACAUGAUUUUCCUGAGGAUUUAUCUGAUAGUACAAGGUCCGACACACAGACCAUAGUACUAAAGGACGUAUCCCAAAGUAUCUAAUACGCAGAGGAGGGGGGAGUACUGGUGAUACAGUAUCCCGAACACGGUCACAACCUACCAGCAACUAGAAAUCCGGAUAGCCUAAGAUGAGUUAAGGUAUCUAUUCUAGGGUUGGGGAGGUCCCAGGUCGAAUCCUAGGAAGAUCGACUUUCCUGANNNNNNNNNNNNNNNNNNNNNNNNNNNNNNNNNNNNNNNNNNNNNNNNNNNNNNNNNNNNNNNNNNNNNNNNNNNNNNNNNNNNNNNNNNNNNNNNNNNNCCCGAUCUGAUCAGUUUGGCAGUUAGGCGGUUACUGCCAAAAUGACCAUAUUACCCCCAUAAGAACCCCUAUAAAUAGAGGGCACCCCCCACUCAUUAAGGGAAGGUCAUUUGGAGCAAAAGGAUUCCUAGCGAAGCAGAGCUCUGCGCACUUGAGUUCCGGUCCGGUUUCCCGCGGAGUUCCCCGCUUGGCGCUUGCUUGCGCGUCUUGGAGCACUGGUCGGGUUUCACCCCCAUCAUUAUCGUUUUCACGUCUUAUGUUUUAGAACCUUGAACUAUGUAUAAUGGCUUCCAGCUAAAUGUUUAAAAUAAUAAACUAUUAGAAGAUAUAUCAACAAUUAAUAGUUAGUUUACUAUAGUUAAUGUGUAAUGGUUAGUUAGUGAUUGGGUUAGUUAAACUCUAAACACUAUAAAAUUGUAUUUUACAUUGUUGGAUAGGUUUAAUGAAUUUGAUUGAAUGUUAAUGAGUGUUAAGCAUUUCUGAGAUGGUAUCAGAUUUAUCGCUUCACUGUUAAUUUCGUUUUUCUUUCCUCAAAUCGAUUUCUUGUUAGAAAUUCACGGAAAUUUCUCGUCGAUUGCCAAACGGAAAUUUCCUCAAAUCGCAUGCUGAUAUUUCCGCGAUCGUCUACUGCUAUUUCCGCGAUCGUCUGCUGCUAUUUCCGUGAUCGUCUGCUGCUAUUUCCGGGAUUUCCUGUUGCUGCUUCCACGAGCGUCUAUUCCGCGUCGUCUUCCGCGAUUGCUCUGCGUGAUCGAUUCUUCCGGGAGCGAUUCUUCUGAGAUUACAGGUCAGUUAUGAUUUGUGAUUUGCGAUUUCUUUUGUGAUUUGCGAUUACAGGUCAUACGAUUUGCGAUUUGAGAUUUAUAAUUAGAGGGGGGAAAACUGCAAUAAAAAUUUAUAAAUUUACAGGAUGUUACACUUGGUAUCAGAACAUUGAAGGUUGACCAUGUACGAACGAGACCCUGAUACACUGCUCCAGAUCAGAAUUACUUGAGUAAGUAUAUGAUAUUAAAUUUAUGAUGUGUUAGGAAUAAUUUAAGUCACAAAAUUUUGACACGGGAGGAAAACAAAGGACAUGGCAAAGCAGACAAAACCGUCAACGUCUAAGUGUAUCUUUUAUCGUGUGCACUCUAACUGUGAAUUUUUUAGUUGGAUUGAAGCAUAAAUGCUUAACUAGAUAAAUGACGACUCUACAAAAUGUUUGAAGGUCAAAUACCUCACCGGAAGUCUAGAUGACAGAGGAUGGACUGGUUUGAAAUUAAUUAGAGAAAUGGAUAAAUUAUAAGGAUAAUAAAAGGGUUAACAUCACGAUCCCUAAGCCCAAGCAUCUAGGGUCGGGAAUGAUACAAUAUCUAGAAAGAUCAGAGAAAAAAAAUAAAAGAAAGGGGAAAUAGCUUAAGAGACCUUGAUAAAGUGGUACAAGACACUACAAAAAAAAGGACCUAAGAUGGCGGUCUUUUGAUGGCGGAUUUCCGCCAUCAAUAAUUCAGUUUUUCUGAUGGUGGAAAUCUGCCAUCAAUUGUUUUAAUCCGCCGAGGAAAAGCUAGAGCUUGAUGGCGGUUUAAAAUUAUUUUCGAUGGCGGUGUUUAGAUGGCGGAAAUCCGCCAUCUAAAAAGUCCCGCCCAAAAUUUUGAAUUCCCCUCCAAAAUUAACCCGAUUACCCGAUUAAAUUGACUUAACAUGGCGGAUGUCUGCCAUGUUAAGUAUUCGGGGAGUCGGACGGAAAAAGCCCGCCCAAAUUUCGAUUGGGCGGAUUUUCACUUUAGUGUCGGCGGAACUUAAGUGUACUUACAUGGCGGAAAUCCGCCAUGUAAGUUUUGGAGUUUAUAAAAAAACCCAAAUCUAGACAGACAUUUCCCGUCUGUCUAAAACCGCUGCUCUCCAUCGCCGCUCUGCCUGUCUCCCCGCCGCUGCUCGUCGCCGUCAGCGCUCGCCGGUCACGCCGUCGAUUCCUCGCAGGUCUCCACUCCCAAUCGUUGUGUCCUCGCUGGUAGCCGAUCUCCACUUCGAUUCCUCAACUGUGAAGGUAAUUUUUGUUUUUUGUUUUUUUUGUAUCGUUUGUUUAAUCUUAUU